rnacentral:rRNA from 1 species
UCCAGACUCCUACGGGAGGCAGCAGUGGGGAAUAUUGCACAAUGGGCGAAAGCCUGAUGCAGCAACGCCGCGUGAAGGAAGAAGGGUUUCGGCUCGUAAACUUCUAUCAACAGGGACGAAAGAAAUGACGGUACCUGAGUAAGAAGCACCGGCUAAAUACGUGCCAGCAGCCGCGGUAAUACGUAUGGGGCUAGCGUUAUCCGGAAUUACUGGGCGUAAAGGGUGCGUAGGUGGUUUCUUAAGUCAGAGGUGAAAGGCUACGGCUCAACCGUAGUAAGCCUUUGAAACUGGGGAACUUGAGUGCAGGAGAGGAGAGUGGAAUUCCUAGUGUAGCGGUGAAAUGCGUAGAUAUUAGGAGGAACACCAGUGGCGAAGGCGGCUUGCUGGACGAAAACUGACGUUGAGUCUCGAAAGCGUGGGGAGCAAACAGGAUUAGAUACCCCUGUA